UCCAGACUCCUACGGGAGGCAGCAGUGGGGGAUAUUGCACAAUGGGGGGAACCCUGAUGCAGCGACGCCGCGUGGGUGAAGGAGCGUUUCGGCGCGUAAAGCCCUAUCGGCAGGGAAGAAGGAGGACGGUACCUGACUAAGAAGCCCCGGCUAACUACGUGCCAGCAGCCGCGGUAAUACGUAGGGGGCAAGCGUUAUCCGGAUUUACUGGGUGUAAAGGGGGCGCAGACGGCAGCGCAAGCCAGGAGUGAAAGCCCGGGGCCCAACCCCGGGACUGCUCUUGGAACUGCGCGGCUGGAGUGCAGGAGGGGCAGGCGGAAUUCCUGGUGUAGCGGUGAAAUGCGUAGAUACCAGGAGGAACACCGGUGGCGAAGGCGGCCUGCUGGACUGCGACUGACGUUGAGGCCCGAAAGCGUGGGGAGCAAACAGGAUUAGAUACCCCUGUA
rnacentral:rRNA from 1 species